GAAACCGCUGAGACUAAAACCACAAAACAUUAGAAACUUCAAUAUCUGCCACCAAGCAGGCGAGGGCGCUGUUGUGUUUCAGUUUGAAGGCAGUCAGAGGAUUUUGCAACCGACUAAACUGUCCACGAUAUGAAAAGCGGGACGAACUGGGGGACCGAGCUUGGAUGAAUGCGGCAAUGUACAAAGACACGCUUGAUGAAAACUUGCUCCAGAGCGCUCUGGACUUCAGACCGGGGCAAAGGUUCAUCUUCCAACAAGACCACAAC
ensembl:lncRNA